GCCGGUGUAGCUCAGUGGUAGAGCACACGACUCAUAAUCGUGCUGUCUGGAGUUCAACUCUCCACACCGGCA
rnacentral:tRNA from 1 species